AGCGUGGCUGUUCCGAGCAUUAUGUAUGGUACUGGUAUAUUUGUGUGGAAUUAGAAUAAAGUAGCAAGAAUAGCACUGCAUGAAUGCACCAAAAUAUGCAGCGAUAGAAGCUUUAAGAGGAACUAUGGGAUGGAACACUUUUUGAGAAAGCCAUCUAAAAGCACACGGAUGAUGCAAUAUUAGUGAGAAAUACGUGGGAAGAGUUGCCGUUCCAAAGGCCUGACUCAGGAGCGAUCCCAAGCCACCUGUAGCAUCAAGAUCAAGAUACAAACAUUGAUGCAGUCAGCAGCAUAGGAGGCACGUGCAAUGAAUGAAGUUGAGCUCAUUCUACUAGACCAAGUUAUGUGUUUCCAUCAUCUCUCCAGCACCCUUUUGUGAGGCUUCAUAACACGCAGAGGCUACCGAGGUGUCAGUUAUUUGUCACAAUGGAAGAUCCAGAACAGAAGACAGAUAAGAAUAAGCAAGCCUCUCUCACCAAGAAAAAGUAUCAGUGUGACACCUGUGGAAAGCUGUUCAUCAAGAAGAGUCAUCUUGUUACUCACACUGCCAUUCACACAGGUGUUAAAAAGUUUAAAUGUGAUGAAUGUGGAAAAAAAUUUAAUCAGAUGGGAAACUUGACCAUGCAUGCCCUCACACACACAUUAGAGAGAAAGUUUAAGUGUGACCAGUGUGAAAAAACUUUUACAUUGAAAGGAGACCUUAAGAGACACUGCCGUGGGCACACCGGCAAGAAGGAGUUCAAGUGUACCAAAUGUGAGAAAGAAUUUACACAGAAAUCUAGCCUUAAAUCACACUUAAAUUUGCACACUCAUACAAAAGUGUUUCAGUGCAUUGAAUGUGGGAGAGAAUUCUUCAUAAAAAGUAGUUUACGUCAGCAUAUGGUUACCCACGUUGGUGGGAGAACAUAUGAAUGUGAGAAUUGUGAGAAAAGUUUCUUAACAAAACAAGGACUUAAGAAUCAUAUCUUUAAAUCUUGUUACAAAAAAAUGGAGGAUUCUGAUGUACAAAAAAUGGACAGCUGUGAUGCACAAGAAUAAUUGGAGGUACAAUUAUUUUCAUAGUUGUAUUACCUCCUUUACUACUUGUUAUGCCUUUAGGAUGUAAGCACAUGAUGAGUUAUAUGACUAUCUCUCUCUCUCUCUCUCUCUCUCUCUCUCUCUCUCUCUCUCUCUCUCUCUCUCUCUCUGUUAAUUAUUCAUGGUCAUGGACAAUAGCCAAUCAAUAUACAUGCUGCUAUUUUGCAGUUUUUUUGCCAUAGCCUUAAGUUCUCUGAUGUGCUAAGGAAGUAUUAUUUAUCAAAUGUUGUAGGGGAUUGUUAGCACAGCAGACGACCAAAGAUUGAGGUAAAAUGGAAACAAACAGUGUGGCAGUGAAUAUGGGAUAUUACUCUACUUCAGACCACAACUGUAUUGUAUGUAUACUCUAUGUAUGGCUUCUUUAUGGCUCUCAGAACUUGAAUUCAUUAUACAGUACUGCCAUUGAAGGCUUGGAGAAAUAAAACAUUUAAAAAUUUGCUUGUUACUGUCAUUCAUGCCUGCAAGUUUGUAACAGCAAUAGUCAGUAUACUAAGCGAGGAGAAAAAUUGAGAAGAUUGACUGAAUUAUAUUACAACUAAUGCAAGUACUUGGUAAGGUGAAUUUCUUGUAUAAUGAAAAAUUGAGAAGAUUCAAUUAUAUUACAACUGAUGCAAGUACUUGGUAAGGUGAAUUACUUGUAUAUUGAUGCCAUAAACAUAGUAUUUAUGUAUAACAUAUAAGAACUGUCCAGUCACAUUAAUGUUGAUGGAUUUACAUGAUGCAAUAAAUUAUGGAAACCUAAUUCGAAA